rnacentral:rRNA from 1 species
UACGUAGGGUGCAAGCGUUGUCCGGAUUUAUUGGGCGUAAAGAGCUCGUAGGCGGUGUGUCGCGUCGGCCGUGAAAACCUGCAGCUUAACUGUGGGCGUGCGGUCGAUACGGGCAUCACUGGAGUUCGGCAGGGGAGACUGGAAUUCCUGGUGUAGCGGUGAAAUGCGCAGAUAUCAGGAGGAACACCGGUGGCGAAGGCGGGUCUCUGGGCCGGUACUGACGCUGAGACGCGAAAGCGUGGGGAGCGAACAGG